UGUGAUAUAACAAACUAAGUCCCACAUUGGAGAAUUAGACAAGAAGUGUCUAAUAUAUAAAGAGAUGUCCAACUCUAAUAGUACGAGGCCUUUUGGGAUGGAAACCAAAAGUAAAUCCAUGCGGGCUUGCCAAUUAGGCCCAAAGUGGACAAUAUCGUACUAAUCGGAUAAUAUAGAAUUGGACACGGGAUUUCACAAUCCCAACAAUUGGUAUCAGAGCCGGUUGACGAGAAAUCUGCAAGAAAGACCGAAAUACCCUUUGAGUGAUGAAUGGGUAUCCUAUGAGUUAGGAAUGAGAGGUGUGUGGCAGAAAUCAAGUCAGAAGAUUCUGGAAGUCAGUUGUGGGACACGAGAUGAAUGUGAUCCUUAGUUUGAAGGG
rnacentral:lncRNA from 1 species